rnacentral:rRNA from 1 species
CCGAUAGCGAACAAGUACCGUGAGGGAAAGAUGAAAAGACUUUUGAAAAGAGAGUAAAAUAGUACCUGAAACUGCUGAAAGGGAAGCGAUUGAAGUCAGUGUUGCUCCU